CUCCCUCCCUCCCUCCCUUCUCUCUUCCAGACGAGUUUGCCACACAGGAGUACAGCGCUCCCUGCGCCACAGCUGAGGCUGAACAGGGAAACGCCUGAAGAGCACACCUUGUCUGAGCCUGGCUGGAUCAGCUUGCAUGUCUCUGUCCCUAGAAGAUCUUGUUGAGGGGGGGGGCUACUGAAAUGCUAGAGGAGGACACGUCAACACCAAAAAGGAAGUAACACUAUAAAUAAAUUAAGUCUUGAUUCUCA